AACGCUAGCUACAGGCUUAACACAUGCAAGUCGAGGGUAACGUGAAGCAAGCUUGCUUGCUUUGACGACGACCGGCGCACGGGUGAGUAACGCGUAUCCAACCUGCCCCUUACUACGGGACAGCCCGGCGAAAGUCGGAUUAAUACCGUAUGUGGUGUGAAGAGGACAUCUGACUUACACUAAAGAUUCGUCGGUAAGGGAUGGGGAUGCGUCCGAUUAGGUUGUCGGCGGGGUAACGGCCCACCGAGCCCGCGAUCGGUAGGGGUUCUGAGAGGAAGGUCCCCCACACUGGAACUGAGACACGGUCCAGACUCCUACGGGAGGCAGCAGUGAGGAAUAUUGGUCAAUGGGCGAGAGCCUGAACCAGCCAAGUAGCGUGAGGGAAGACUGCCCUAUGGGUUGUAAACCUCUUUAGUCUGGGAAUAAAGUUGGCGACGUGUCGCCUUUUGUAGGUACCAGAAGAAUAAGGACCGGCUAAUUCCGUGCCAGCAGCCGCGGUAAUACGGAAGGUCCGGGCGUUAUCCGGAUUUAUUGGGUUUAAAGGGAGCGCAGGCGGCCUGUUAAGCGGGCAGUUAAAGGCGGUGGCUCAACCAUCGUUAGCUGUCCGAACUGCCAGGCUUGAGUACGUGCGAGGUAUGCGGAAUUCGUGGUGUAGCGGUGAAAUGCUUAGAUAUCACGAAGAACCCCGAUUGCGAAGGCAGCAUACCAGUGCGCCACUGACGCUAAAGCUCGAAAGCGCGGGUAUCGAACAGGAUUAGAUACCCUGGUAGUCCGCGCGGGAAACGAUGGAUGCCCGCUGUGCGGCCUUUAGUGGUGCGCGGCCA
rnacentral:rRNA from 1 species